GGGAUACUGGGGUCUUCUCCUGCCUUCGGACUCAGACUUGAACUAGAACUUACACCACUGGCUAUCCGGGUUGUCCAGCCUUUGGACAUAGACUGGAACUAUUCCAUCAGCUCUCCUGGUUCUCCAGCUUGCUGACUGCAGAUCCUGGGACUUCUCAGUCUCCGUAACUAAUAGGCACACAGCCACAGGACAAACAAACUUCUUUUGUUGGGAGACCUGUCUAAGGAACUGUUGUAGGGAAAUUAAGGGUUACUUCUCCAAAGAACAUAAUUCUAAACAACUAUGAGAAUCUUGAAUGGAAAAGCCAGUAUCAGAGUAAACAAAGAUCACCUGGAACCCUCUAGGACAGACUGGAAAAGUGAACUGGAAAGAUAUUUGAGAUUGUCACCCUUUAUUGAAGACCUACAGGAAAGACCUGGAAAGGAGCUGUGGUAAACUCUUAAGCACACUCCAAAUAGUGCAUACUUGAGUUAAUGGUGCUCUAUCUCAGUUGCAGGUCCCUCAGUAAAAUAUAAAACAAGAAAAAUAUGCAGAACAUAGGACUGAACAAAAGAAUGUCAACAACAUAUAGAAAACAGGAGACUGUUAUUGCAUUAAAA